UACGUAGGGGGCUAGCGUUGUCCGGAUUUAUUGGGCGUAAAGAGCGUGUAGGCGGCCUGGUAGGUCUGCUGUGAAAACUCGAGGCUCAACCUCGAGAUGUCGGCGGAAACCAUCUGGCUAGAGUCCGGAAGAGGAGAGUGGAAUUCCUGGUGGAGCGGUAAAUGUGACGAUAUGUGGAUGAACACCAAUAAUGGCGAAGGCAGUUAACUAUUCUGUUUCUGACAUUGAGGCACGAAAGCGUGGGGAGCAAAAGGAGUUAGAAACCCAUUGAU
rnacentral:rRNA from 1 species